UACGGAGGGUGCAAGCGUUAUCCGGAUUCACUGGGUUUAAAGGGUGCGUAGGCGGAUCGUUAAGUCAGGGGUGAAAUCCUGGAGCUCAACUCCAGAACUGCCUUUGAUACUGGCGAUCUUGAGUUCGGGAGAGGUGAGUGGAACUGCGAGUGUAGAGGUGAAAUUCGUAGAUAUUCGGAAGAACACCAGUGGCGAAGGCGGCCCGCUGGACAAGUAUUGACGCUGAGGCACGAAAGCGUGGGGGAGCAAACAGG
rnacentral:rRNA from 1 species